UACGGGGGGGGUAAGCGUUGUUCGGAAUUACUGGGCGUAAAGGGCUCGUAGGCGGCCAACUAAGUCGGACGUGAAAUCCCUCGGCUUAACCGGGGAACUGCGUCCGAUACUGGAUGGCUUGAAUUCGGGAGAGGGAUGCGGAAUUCCAGGUGUAGCGGUGAAAUGCGUAGAUAUCUGGAGGAACACCGGUGGCGAAGGCGGCAUCCUGGACCGAGAUUGACGCUGAGGCGCGAAAGCCAGGGAGCAAACGGG
rnacentral:rRNA from 1 species